rnacentral:lncRNA from 1 species
CCGACCUUAUGUGGCAUCUUUCUGAACUCUCUCGAUCGUCCGAGCUUCCAUAAUACCAUCCAGACUUCUCCGAUAAUGAGCUCCUCCAUUCAUCUAUCGGGCUGUUCCAAAUACUUUCUGAGCUUCGCUAUCAGCUGAUUUUCUACAGUAACCAGACUCAUUCCAAGUUUCUACGGCGGUCGACCGCCUUCCGAAUUUCAUCCGGGCUCCUACAAGAGCUGGACUCCAUCCGAACUUCUACAGUGGAUGGAUCCCAGAUAAACUUUUACGACGGACAGGCUCCACCAGUCGGAUC